CAAAUUUAAAAUCUACCUGGUUUYCAGGUCGAGUUGUAAUUUGAAGAUACGUUUUUGACGUUCCGGGUUGAACUAAAUCCUUUGGGAUAAGGUAUCAUGGAGGGUGAGAAUCCCGUAUAUACCAACCRYAGGGAUGUUAUUUAAUACGUUUCUAAGAGUCGAGUUGUUUGGGAAUGCAGCUCUAAAUGGGUGGUAAAUUUCACCUAAUGCUAAAUAUAAGCGAGAGACCGAUAGYGAACAAGUACAGUGAUGGAAAGAUGAAAAGAACUUUGAAAAGAGAGUUAAAUAGUAYGUGAAAUUGUUGAAAGGGAAACGAUUGAAGUCAGUCAUGCCRGUGGGAAUCAACUUAGAGGAAACUCUGAGUGCACUUCUUCGCUUGGCAGGUCAACGUCSAUUUUGGAUGUCAUAAAAWGAUUGGGGGAAGGSAGCUCYUUCGGGAGUGUUAUAGCCCUUGGUAGAUGUGAUGUCUGGGAUCGAGGAUUGCAAUGGAUACCCUUUGGGGCUAGCCGCCUGAUCUCUAAUYGGUAUUGGGUUACGGAUAGCAUGCUGACCGUGAUCUAAUUAUUGGUUAAAAGGUUAG
rnacentral:rRNA from 1 species